rnacentral:rRNA from 1 species
UGAGGAAUAUUGCACAAUGGGGGCAACCCUGAUGCAGCGACGCCGCGUGGGUGAUGAAGGUUUUCGGAUCGUAAAGCCCUUUUCUGCAUGACGAGCACAGGACGGUAGUGCAGGAAUAAGUGUCGGCUAACUACGUGCCAGCAGCCGCGGUAAAACGUAGGACACAAGCGUUAUCCGGAAUUACUGGGCGUAAAGGGCGUGCAGGCGGUUGCGUAAGUUAGGCGUGAAAGACUUCGGCUAAACCGGGGGAGGUCGUCUGAUACUGCGCAACUAGAGUAUGGUAGAGGCGUGUAGAAUUCCGGGUGUAGUGGUGAAAUGCGUAGAGAUCCGGAGGAAUACCAGUGGCGAAGGCGGCACGCUGGGCCAUAACUGACGCUAAGACGCGAAAGCAUGGGUAGCGAACGGGAUUAGAUACCCGCGUAGUCCCUGAGCGGGCUGGCAAGGCGCAU